rnacentral:lncRNA from 1 species
CAAGUUCAACACUCUUCCAUAAAAGAGACCAGUGUUUUGAUCAAUUCAAGUGUGAGACUAAUUUUUCAAAUUCAUUCACUAUCAAGUUAAAUUUUACUGGGCAUGCUCUUGAGGUCUUCAUAUUGCUUCACACAAAGACCCUCUUCCAAGGCUCUUUCUUUCAAAUUGUGUGCAAGGAUGCUGAUGUUGUUGCAGUAGUUGACAAGCUGUGUGUUUUUGGUUCUGUUUUCAAUGAUGAUUGUUCAAUGAGUAACUCUUUAUCAGCAUGUUCCUAUCGAGAUUUCCGUGAUUCAGAAUUUGAAGAAGAAAAUGCAGAGUUUUUGAGUGGGUUAUCAGAAGCUAAAGUUAGUGAGCAGCUUGGGUUUCCAACUCAUGAGAGAUUGAAUAUGCUACAAAAGCUAGCUCAGAUUUCAGAAUUGGGUCCUGAGUUAGAAAUGAAACUGUUCAAGAGUGUAUGGUAUUUUAAACUGUUGGAAUUCUGCA